rnacentral:rRNA from 1 species
GAAUAUUUGACAAUGGGGGGAACCCUGAUCCAGCCAUGCCGCGUGUGUGAAGAAGGCCUUUUGGUUGAAAAGCACUUUAAGCGAUGAGGAGGCUACCUGCAUGACUACUUUAGGAUAGUGGACGUUCCUCGCAGAAUAAGCACCGGCUAACUAUGUGCCAUCCGCCGCGGUAAUACCGAGGGUGCGAGCGUUAAUCGGAUUUACUGGGAGGAAAGCGGGCGUAGGCGGCAAAUUAAGUCAAAUGUGAAAUCCCCGAGCUGAACUUGGGAAUUGCAGUCGAUACUGGUUGGCUAGAGUAUGGGAGAGGAUGGGAGAAUUCCAGGUGUAGCGGUGAAAUGCGUAGAGAUCUGGAGGAAUACCGAGGGCGAAGGCAGCCAUCUGGCCUAAUACUGACGCGGAGGUACGAAAGCAUGGGGAGCAAACAG